UGGGGAAUAUUGGACAAUGGGGGCAACCCUGAUCCAGCAAUGCCGCGUGUGUGAAGAAGGUUUUCGGAUUGUAAAGCACUUUCGGCGGGGACGAUGAUGACGGUACCCGCAGAAGAAGCCCCGGCUAACUUCGUGCCAGCAGCCGCGGUAAUACGAAGGGGGCUAGCGUUGCUCGGAAUGACUGGGCGUAAAGGGCGUGUAGGCGGUUUGUACAGUCAGAUGUGAAAUCCCCGGGCUUAACCUGGGAGCUGCAUUUGAUACGUGUAGACUAGAGUGUGAGAGAGGGUUGUGGAAUUCCCAGUGUAGAGGUGAAAUUCGUAGAUAUUGGGAAGAACACCGGUGGCGAAGGCGGCAACCUGGCUCAUAACUGACGCUGAGGCGCGAAAGCGUGGGGAGCAAACAGGAUUA
rnacentral:rRNA from 1 species